AUUGAACGCUGGCGGCAUGCUUUACACAUGCAAGUCGAACGGUAACAGGGUGCUUGCACCGCUUACGAGUGGCGAACGGGUGAGUAAUGCAUCGGAAUGUACCGUGUAAUUUGGGAUAGCUCGGCGACAGCCGGAUUAAUACCGCAUACGCCCUUAGGGGGUAAGUGGGGGACCAGAAGACCUCACGUUAUACGAGCAGCCGAUGUCUGAUUAGCUAGUUGGUGAGGUAAAGGCUCACCAAGGCGUCGAUCAGUAGCGGGUCUGAGAGGAUGAUCCGCCACACUGGGACUGAGACACGGUCCAGACUCCUACGGGAGGCAGCAGUGGGGAAUUUUGGACAAUGGGCGCAAGCCUGAUCCAGCCAUGCCGCGUGGCUGAAGAAGGCCUUCGGGUUGUAAAGGACUUUUGUCCGGGAGGAAAUCCUAGUGGUUAAUAACCGCUGGGUCUGAGAGUACCGGAAGAAUAAGCACCGGCUAACUACGUG
rnacentral:rRNA from 1 species